CAGCAGCCACGGUAAUACAAGGGGUGCAAGCGUUAUUCGGAUUGAUUGGGUGUAAAGGGUGUGCAGACGGCUUAGUAAGUCACUUGUUAAAUUCUUCGGCCUAACUGAAGGUCUGCAAGUGAUACUGAUGAGCUAGAGGGUGGAAGAGAGAAGUGGAAUUCUCGGAGUAGCGGUAAAAUGCGUAGAUCUCGAGAGGAACACCAAUGGCGAAGGCAGCUUCUUGGUCCAUUCCUGACGUUCAUACACGAAAGCGUGGGGAGCAAACAGGAUUAGAUACCCCUGUAGUCCCUGUCUCUUAUAC
rnacentral:rRNA from 1 species